UUNCGGUUGAUCCUGCCGGACUCCACUGCUAUCGGGGUAAGGCUAAGCCAUGCAAGUCGAAGGCCUCCGGCUCCGGGGGCCUGGCGUACGGCUGAGUAACGCGUGGCCAACCUGCCCUGCGGAGGGGGAUAACCCCGGGAAACUGGGGAUAAACCCCCAUAGGUGACCGGAUCUGGAAGGACCGGUCGCCGAAAGUCCCGGUCGGGGAUGCUCCGGCCGGGAGCCGCAGGAUGGGGCUGCGUCCUAUCAGGUAGUUGGUGGGGUAACGGCCCACCAAGCCUGUGACGGGUAGGGGCCCUGAGAGGGGGAGCCCCCAGAUGGACUCUGAGACAAGAGUCCAGGCCCUACGGGGCGCAGCAGGCGCGAAAACUCCGCAAUGGGCGAAAGCCCGACGGGGUUACCCCGAGUGCCACCCUCGUGGUGGCUUUUGCCCGCUCUAAAAAGGCGGGCGAAUAAGGGGAGGGCAAGUCGGGUGUCAGCCGCCGCGGUAAUACCCGCUCCCCGAGUGGUGGAGGCUAUUACUGGGCCUAAAGCGCCCGUAGCCGGCCCGGUGUGUCCCUCGUUAAAUCCACGGGCUUAACCCGUGGGCUGCGGGGGAUACUACCGGGCUUGGGGGUGGGAGAGGCGCCCGGUAUUCCCGGGGUAGGGGUAAAUCCUCUGAUCCCGGGAGGACCAUCAGUGGCGAAAGCGGGGCGC
rnacentral:rRNA from 1 species